rnacentral:rRNA from 1 species
UGCGUAGGCGGUUCUCUAAGUCGGAUGUGAAAACCUCUGGGCUCAACCCAGAGACUGCAUCCGAAACUGGAGGACUAGGGUUCUGGAGGGGAAAGCGGAAUUCCUGGUGUAGCGGUGAAAUGCGUAGAUAUCAGGAGGAACACCGGUGGCGAAGGCGGCUUUCUGGACAGAUACCGACGCUGAGGCACGAAAGCUAGGGGAGCAAACA